AAGCAGCCAUCAUUUAAAGAAAGCGUAAUAGCUCACUGGUCGAGUCGGCCUGCGCGGAAGAUGUAACGGGGCUAAACCAUGCACCGAAGCUGCGGCAGCGACACUAUGUGUUGUUGGGUAGGGGAGCGUUCUGUAAGCCUGCGAAGGUGUGCUGUGAGGCAUGCUGGAGGUAUCAGAAGUGCGAAUGCUGACAUAAGUAACGAUAAAGCGGGUGAAAAGCCCGCUCGCCGGAAGACCAAGGGUUCCUGUCCAACGUUAAUCGGGGCAGGGUGAGUCGACCCCUAAGGCGAGGCCGAAAGGCGUAGUCGAU
rnacentral:rRNA from 1 species